rnacentral:lncRNA from 1 species
CAAUAUUUUAUUUGAAGUUGAAGUAAUGAUGAUGAAGCAAUGCUAUUUGUAUCUACCUCAAUUUAGAAUGGAAGGAGUAACUAAGAUAAGAAAGAUCAAAUGGACUUUUCCUUGGAAGUUCGAACCACCGAAAGCGCCGGGCAGCGCCGCCUGUAUAACCGCGUCUCCGCCGGGCCUGGCCCUGCCCAUGGAUUAAAUUUUGCCCCGGCAAGUGGCCGACUAGCUCAAAAGAUUUCCAUGGCUGCACCCGGUGGUCAUCCACACCAACUAUAGACAAAUGAAAUCAGGUGGCCAAUCGUGGCUGGGUUUGGGUUUCACCGGAUAAUUCCAUUCCAAGUUGCAGGGAAGAAACCACGGAAAUGGGAGCCGUUGAGAAUAUGGUGUGCAGAUGUGAGUGGCUGGCUUCUCGCGCAAACUGCUGCGCUGCCCUGGUCACGCCCGUUGUUGGCAGCGCAAAGAGAGGACCGGCCGACGGUGUCUGUCUGACUGUACCAGUUAAACAAAGGGUGGCAAUUGGCAAUGCUCAAAACACGAAAGUAUAUAUCUGCAUUUUUAUUGUACGAUCAUAAAAACAAAAUAUCAUGUAAGAUCAUAAUAAAUUAAAUUAAUAUAGAAAUCCAAAUAUUUAAGGUAACCUGCAUAUAUAGCCUGUCGUUUGUCUGAUAAACCACAUCUGAAAGUAUUGUCACUAAUUUUUUUUAGAAAAAAACACUGCUAAGUGAUUAGCAGAUUCGGCGAAUAAGGUCAAACGAACAAACCCUAUAAUGGUGACAAAACCAAGCAUACUUAGGCCUUGUUUAGAUGUGAAUUUUUUUGGAUUUCGCUACUGUAGCACUUUCAUUUGUUUGUGGCAAAUAUUGUUCAAUCAUGGACUAACUAGGAUCAAAAGAUUCAUCUCGCGAUUUAUAGAUAAAUUGUACAACUAGUUUUUUCGUCUAUAUUUAAUGCUUCAUGCAUGUGCUAUAAAAAUCGAUGUGACGGAAAAUUUUGAAAACUUUUUGGUUUUUGGUGAACUAAACAAGGCCUUAGCGAGAUGCACACUAGUCUAGCUUGACUGCUACAUUGUAAGGGCUGAAAUAUGAACCUGACUCUAGUAAUAUCUUUUUUUUUUCUUUUUUUACGGAUGACCCUAGUACUACUAUACCAAACGUAUAGCAAGUAGAAAUUUAUAUAAAGCGAAAGUAUGCAUGUAGCGUAUAUGUAUCAUUCACUGGAAAGGAAAUAAAUCCUAACUACAAAUCGGUCACUAGAGCAUCUCCAAGAGAUUAGGCAAAUUUACUGAUUUAGCUAGUUUGUAAAAUAGAUUUAACAAAAAACAGAUUAAGUACUCAAACACACUAUGUAAAACCAAGAGUCUAGUAGAUGGCUAGUGAGGUAGGCUAUAUAAAAGUAGAGAGCAAAUAAGGUGAGAUGGAGAGCUACUAAGUUUGGAGUGUCAUUUACAUAGUCUGUUGGAGAUAAUUUUCCUUCAAUAUUAACUAAAUUUAUUUUAACAAUAAUUUAGCUAAUCUCUUAGAGAUGCUCUUAAGAAACAUAUCAAACCUGAAACAUGCCUAGCCGUGCAUAUGGCCAAGGUGAAGAUACGUGGGUCCUAGACGUCAUUGCCUGGUUUGUAUGAGCUUAGCCAGAACAGGUAAAGAGCCAGCCCAGUAGGUGUUGUUUGAUGUGUGUUGUUUCCCUGUAGAGCCACACUAGAUAGGGAUUUUGUUUGUUUACCUGUCAUGUGAUAUGUGGUCACUGAACUAGCAUUUGGUAUAAUUACCACCCAGCUAUUUUCCUUCUUUUGUUUGAGACAUUUUUACGAACAGAUUCAACACACAAGUUGUUCCAUGGCUGCUCAUGUCGUUGCCCUCCAUGGCAACCUCCAUGUUCACUGCUCAUGUGUGGUCUUGCUACUUCUAUCUACCACCUCCAUCACCGUUGAGGCGAAACCCUAGCUCGCUUGGGUAGACAACCACAGACACACCUCUAGCGGCAAGCGCAGCCCAAAGCUACAUCUCUCUCGACAACAACCACAACCACCAUCAUAACUCACCAGCCUCCUCGCACCUCGCGAUCAACGAGAAUUUGUCAUCCCUAGUAAAAAAACAUUAUUCACUGAUUUAUUGCGAGAGAAAAACACUAAUGAAUAACUAGCAUAUUGAAC